CGCCGGCUUAUCCCCAGCUUGACACGCAACGGCCGAAGAUGCUCUUACAAAACACAAACACGCACAUCUGUGAUGGAGGUACUAGAGUAGAAGAGAAACGAAGUAAAACCACUACACCAAGGUAGAUCGAAGUUAGGGGCUGUUCGGCAUCGCUCCGCUCCACAGCUCCCGAAGCGGAGUUGGCGAAGCUGUAGGUCAAAAUGGUGGAGUUGCCAGUCACCCGCUCCGCAGAUUUCGGGAGCGGAUCAUUACCGAACAGGGCCUUAGUGGUGUGACAGCGAGCUUGGUUUGAAAGCUAUUGUUGGGACCAUAAUCCAUACGUGAAGUGAACACGUGGUCGAGAAAGUGACAACUAGAGGCGUUUAAUUGGGGUUUGCCGCGGCAGGCUGCCGCGCAUCUGGUCCCAACCACAUGCCACGGCCGAAUCAUCCAAUCUAAUCCACCCACUAGCCAGGUGUGAGCAGUACGUACAAAACACGGCUACACCAACUAUGUACACCACGCAGCUCAAAACAAUAAAC
rnacentral:rRNA from 1 species